CCCUCCCCACAGAGCUGUAGCACUCUGAGCUGUAAAACUUGGGCUCCUGAUGCCCCCCUUUCUAGGUGCUCUUCCUGUGGUUGCUCGCUGCCUUUGUUUUGUUCUGCUUUUUCUUCUGGCUUGCAAUCUUCAGUUGGGCAUUCCACUCCUGUCUUCGCCGAUUGUCUCCUUGAACAGUUCCUGAGUCCGUUUGGGUACAUCUUGCAGGACUCAAGAAUUUCCUGGAGAUGUCCUGAAGUGAAUUGUUAAGAAGUCUCCUAAAACUUCAUGCAUGCUAUCAAGAAGUGAGGACCAUCAUUAUCCAUAUCAGCCACUGUCAGGGAGCUCAGGACACUCAUUGAAGUCAAGAACAUAAACCUGCAUGUUGCACGGAAUGUCUCCCCCAUGCUGAAGUCCCUUCCAUUUAGUCAACCUGAAGAAGCAGAGAAAAUUUGCCUUUUGAUUAAGAACUUCAGAGCAGAGAGGCUUUCCAUCUCUACAGCAUAUGAAGACAAUCAAGCUAACUGGUGAAAUGAAAGGAAGACAAGGUUUCAUAUUAACCUAGAAAGAGGUUUGAUGCUUCCACUGGUGCCUAUUCUAAAGGAUGCCUGAAGUCCCUCCUGUUGUCUUACUGGUCCAGCUCAUGUUAAGGGAGACACUAAGCCAUAACAAUGAGCAACAGCACUGUUCAGAGCUAGCAGCUUUUUACUUUUCGAAGAAUUUAAAGAAGUUUCUGUGAGAGUUCAUGAACCUGUAGACCCACCCACCCCAGGGCUUGGAAACUUUCCACCAGUUAUCUUCAAAGACAUAAUUUUGGAUGGCAUUUACUUAUUCAUUUUUUGUGAAACUCCUAUGUCCCCAAAGAAUCAAAGUUGUGUGUAUGUGUGUGUGUGUAUGCAUGCACAUAUGUGUUUUGAACUUCUGCAUUUAAAUUUGAACAUGAUUUCAUUUGCCAGAAAUUAAGCUAUAGGACACUGUAUGUUGCA